rnacentral:lncRNA from 1 species
CUCAUUUUCUCUUGCUGCCGCAAUGUAAGAAGAGCCAUACGCCUCCCGCCAUGAUUCUGAGACCUCCACAGCGAUGUGGAACUAGUACUCAACAAAUAUUACCUUGAUUUGAAGAACAUGCUGCUUCUUGGAUUUACUUUUAUCUACAGAACAAACUGGACAAUGAUUUCCAUGUCAUAAAGCUUUCAAUGAUUUGGCUCCAAACUUUCUUUUCAAUAUCAUCAUCUAUAGCUUCUUUCAUCUACAUACCCUCUGAUUCCAUAACAGUGAACAUGGCAUAAACUUUCAAGAAAAUCUUGUGCCUUUGUCUACAUAAUCUCUUAACAUGGAAUUUCCGUUUUUUUCUGAUUAUUUUUCAUCUUUCAAGACUAAGCUGAAAUGCUCUACAUCUUGAAUGUUUUACAUUUUCUUCAGUGUGAGCUAUUUACUACUACUUUCACAUUUUUGCAACUCUAAUAUGUCAACAAAAUUCAUUCUAGUAUUUUGCAGUAAUAUUGUAGAUGCUUAAAAUAAAUGAUGAAUGAAUUCAUAACAGUCAAAGAUUUUCUAAAAGAUAUGGAAAUAAUUAUUCAUAUAAGUGUCAUAUCCUUUGACUUAAAAUUUUAAUAAAGGAUUAAAAUUUAUUUUUCUCAACACUGAAUUUCAGUAAUAUGUAUUAUCUCCUUUUUUUCAGCUUUUAUUUUGGAUACAGAGGGUACACGUGCGGGUUUGUUACAUGGGCAUAUUGUGUAACACAGGCUUGGAGUACAGAUGAUCCUGUCACCAAGGUAGUGAGCAUAGGCGGUUUUUCGGCCAACACCCCCUCCUCCCUCUAUCCUAUAAGGGUCCCAUAUUUACAUCAGUGUGUACCCAAUAUUUAUUUCCCACUUAUAAACGAGGACGUGGUAUUUAGUUUUCUGUUCCUGUGUUAAUUCACUUAGGACAAUGGCCUCCUGCUGCAUUCAUGUUGCUGCAAAGGACAUGAUUUUCUUCUUUUAUGGCUGUUUAGUAUCCCAUGAUGCGUAUAUGUACCACAUACUUUAUCCAAUACACCAUAAAUGGAUAUUAGGUUGAUUCCAUGUCUUUGCUCUGGUGAAUAUCACUGCAAUGAACAUAUGAGUUCAUGUGACUUUUUGGUAGAAUGAUUUAUUUUCCUUUGGGUAUAUACCCACUAAUUGGAUUGCUGGGUCUAAUGGUAAUUCUGUUUUAUUUAGAGGUCUUUGAAAAAUCUCCAAACUACUUUCCAUGGUUGCUGAACUAAUUUACAUUCCCACUAACAGUGUAUAAACAUUCCCUUUUUUUUCAAAGCCUUGCUAGCAUAUGUUAUUUAUUUUAUUUUAUUUAUUUUAUUUUUUGACUUUUUAAUGAUCUACAUUCUGACUGCUAUGAGUUGGCAUCUCAUCAUGGUUUUGAUUUGCAUUUCUCUGACGAUUAGUGAUGAUUAACAUUUUUUCAUUUGCUUGUUGGUCCCUUAAAUACCUUCUUUUGAGAAGUAUCUUUUUAUGCCCUUUGCUCAUUUUUUACUUGGAUUAUUUGUUUUCUUCUUUUUGAUUUGUGUAAGUUCCUCAUAGAUUCUGAAUGUUAGCUAUGAAGUUAUCAUCAUCCUGAUACCAAAAUCUGGCAGAGACAAAAAAAAAAAAAAGAAAGAAAAGAAAACUACAGGCCAAUAGAUAAACCUAGACACAAAACCCUCAAAAAAAUAAUAACAAGUUGAAUCCAGUAGCACAUCAAAAAGUAAGUUCACCACAAUCAAGUAAGCUUAUUCCUGGGAUGCAAGGUUGGUUCAAUAUAUGCAAAUCAGUACAUGUGAUUCACCACAUAAACAGAAUCAAAACCAAAAUCUGUAUGAUCAUCUCAACAGACACAGAUUAAGCUUUUGGUAAAACCCAGCUUACUUUCAUGAUCAAAAUCCUCAACAGACUAGGCAGCAAAGGAACAGACCUAAAAAUAUUAAGGGGCAACCAGGACAAAUGCACAGCAAAUAUCAUAUUGAUCAGGCAAACGCUAGAAGCAUUCUCCCUGAGAACUGGCACAAGACAAGGACACCCAUUUUCACUGCUCCUAUUCAACAUAGUCCUAGCCAGAGCAAUCAGGUAAGAGAAAAAUAAAAGGCUUGGGAGGCCAAGGCAGGCGGAUCACGAGGUCAGGAGAUCAAGACCAUCCUGGCUAACACAGUGAAACACGGUCUCUACCAAAACUACCAAAACUUAGCUAAGCAUGGUGGUGGGCGCCUGUAGUCCCAGCUACUUGGGAGGCUGAGGCAGGAGAAUGGCUUGAACCCGGGA